AGGGCACCUUCAGCCCCGGGCAGGCACUCAUCUCAGAUCCUGCCCUGUCUGGCCCCACCCCUGCCAGCCCCUCAGACCACUGUGAGCACGUGGCAGGGGCUGUUGAGUCCCGGUCCAGCCUCCAUGCUCUCAGGACAGCACUGACAGCAGGGGUGUGGCUCCUGCUCCUCAAGACAGCCCUGAGAGGACCUGGGCCACCAGUCCAAGCUGAGCCUCUCCAUCCUGCCUCUCAGCUGUCUCCUGCUCCUCGCCGCCUCCACCUCAGGAGGGACCAGAAUGAAAAGGCUGCUGGAUUCGGACAGUUUGCUGCCCGGGCCGGGCACAUGCUGCUCCCAAGAGUUGUGGAGAUCAGGCGUCUUGGAGCAGUGAGGUCGGCCCAUGCCUUACACUUGCCAAACUGAGCUCCACAGACUGCGUCUGUCCCACUCACCCCCAGCCUGACACAGGGGACAAACAGUGUCGCCUGAAGAAGGGGGCACGUGUUGGCCAGGUGAGCAAGGAGCAGGGUUUCUGAGCUCCCUGGGGGCCCAAAGGGGAGGCCUCCCUCCUUCCUGAAUAGUUCAGUCCACGCAGGGUCUGCCCAGGGGUGGUGGGGUGACGGCAGUGGGGUGAAGGCUGCGCUCAGCGCAACUCGUCGAGUGAGUCACUAAGUCAAGGGCGAGGGCAGCCAGGUUUCUCCCGGUUGGAGGGGGACGGCAAUGCGUGUUGGCAAUGGGAGGCACCUGUGUGGACGCAGGGCUGACAUUUAUGACUAGAGACAGGAAUGAGCACAUGUAAGGGUGAGUGCGCACAUGUGCACACAGAAACACCCCUCACUCUAGUCCACAGAAGCAGACACAGCCCGAGUGAUGCGAGCACGCCCUGUCAUGGUCCCUGAGACCUUUCUCCACUCCUAGGAGCCAGGCUCCCUGGAGAGUAGCAGCUUCUAGGGCUGGGAGAGAACAAGAGGGGCCUGGAGCAUCCUGUGUGCCAGAAGGAAUAGAAUGCUCAAAAGACACGUCAAAAGGAUUGAAAAAGUUAACGGUAAAAUCUAGGUUCACUGUAGAGCAUUUCCAACUCUGCUGUAUCUUUGAAGCUUUUUAUAAUAAAACGUUGGAGAUUAAAAAAUUUUCAAAAGG